AUUUUCUUUCAUUGUGCAUUGAGAGCCCCCCAGCAGAACAUUGCCUGUGACUAAUCAAGGAAGAUUCUGUUUAGUGUCUUGAUUUUGUUAGUUGAACAAAAUCUGCUUUUUGUACCCAUGCUCUUUUCAGGUUCUGGAAGCCAAAUUUGUUUUCUUGUUUACCGCCAUUGUUUUUGAUCAGCUGGAAAAUUUCCUAUUGGCACACAAUUACUGCAAUGCGAAGCUCCACAAAUAAAGGCCUCUCUGUUUGUCAUUGGACUGCAGUAAAGUGACUCCUGCUGGCACCAGAGACCAGAUCUGGGUCAAAAGCACCUCAAAAACUCUUUAACUCUUUAGAUACUGGCAGGUGGAGCGGUCCUCUGUGCUGAGGUGUAGAGGCCAGAUCUCUUCCUGCUGCCUGAGCUCCACACGAAUACAAAUUAAAAUUCAAAUUGCACUUUAUAGGCAUGACCACGCAUAGGCAAAGUAAUGAACACCCCUCCGUAAAAUGUGCAGUAAGCAAACCAGACUGUAUUUAAGUGUCUGAAAAGCAAAGAAAUGCUACAAUCUGGUAGGCCUCACUAGAUCAACACCAGAUACGCACCAUCUUGUAUUUGUUGUAUGGGUUUGCAGUGUCUUCGCAAUAAAUAAAUGAUGAACACUCUGUCAUGAUGUUUGAUGGCCAAUUCACAGUGUAAAAAUGCCGCUUCCUUGUUAAACUCCAUUGAAUACUUGCAUUCUGCGGUUAGCUAUUAGCUCUUGUUUAACAGUUCCUACAGUGUCACACCCUGUACCCCUCAAACAGUUACUAGAGAGGACCACCUCUUCCUGCAGGGCUCUGGCAAGGUGAUCAUUAAAAGCACUGUAAAACCACAUCACAGUUCUUUAUCAGAGCAAACGUGUGUUUCCUAGCAUUGUGUAAUCCCUCACAUUCGACCCCUUGUUACACACCAGCAUAGGACACUGAUAA